rnacentral:rRNA from 1 species
CUACGUCCGUUUGUCUUCUUCAUGGACUCGUUCUUCUUCCUUGUGGGAUCUCAGGCAAGAUGACCAUACCCUCGAAAUCACUUCUAUCUUUGCUUGCUAGUUGCUCGCUCUUUUGCUAUGCCUAUGCCGUGAUACCUACCACUUGCUUAUCAUGCCUCCCAUAUUGUUGAGCCAAGCCUCUAACCCACCUUGUCCUAGCAAACCGUUGUUUGGCUAUGUUACCGCUUUGCUCAGCCCCUCUUAUAGCAUUGUUAGUUG